AUUGAACGCUGGCGGCAUGCCUUACACAUGCAAGUCGAACGGUAACAGGUUAAGCUGACGAGUGGCGAACGGGUGAGUAAUAUAUCGGAACGUGCCCAGUAGUGGGGGAUAGCCCGGCGAAAGCCGGAUUAAUACCGCAUACGAUCUAUGGAUGAAAGCGGGGGAUCGCAAGACCUCGCGCGAUUGGAGCGGCCGAUAUCAGAUUAGCUAGUUGGUGGGGUAAAAGCCCACCAAGGCGACGAUCUGUAGCUGGUCUGAGAGGACGACCAGCCACACUGGAACUGAGACACGGUCCAGACUCCUACGGGAGGCAGCAGUGGGGAAUUUUGGACAAUGGGCGCAAGCCUGAUCCAGCAAUGCCGCGUGCAGGAUGAAGGCCUUCGGG
rnacentral:rRNA from 1 species